GCGCGCACUCUUGUCUGCUUACGAGGGCUCCUCCCUUCAGCUUUGGUCCCUCGGGGCGUCUGGGCAGCCUACGCUUUCCGGAUAAAAAUGGCAGAAUGAAAGAAUUAUGAGUGGAACUAGAGAAUAGGAAAGACAUGAACCAACGCCCAAAAUGAGAAAGAAGGACAUAUAAAGAAAAAGACAAAUACAAGUGAAAAAAAUAGACUAAUGGAUUAACGUCCCUGUCGUGUGACAUUUUCUGACUGGAAUCAGCCAUUUUACCAAGAAAGUUGGGUUUCUUUUACUGGCAAAUAGUACUUCAAGAGCACAGUCUUAUGUAAGAAGUACAGUCUAUAUAAAGACUGUCCAGGACAAAAACUGGCCACUCCAUUCAGCAUUGACAGCAGUAUUUAAAGCUGGUGCAUGGUGAGGUGAAGUUUCUCAAGGGCAAAGACAAUGCCUUCAUGCAUGUUCAGUGUCUGCCCCCGUGGGCUUUGAAAUGAUCGCUGACAAUGGGGGAUCUGCAGUGACUUCUCUGCCUCUGCCAAAGCCCAGGGGUGCUGCUCCCUAAUUCUAAGGAUUCUAAUGAGACUCAGAGCAGGUGUAACACAGGGCAUGGAGCUUCCUGAGCAAGAGGCUGGCUAACAAACUGUGGACGUGGUACUUAGACACAUUAAGAGACAUUACAGGGACACCUGCAAGUAUGUCUCCCUGGGGAGAAGCCAAGUGCAGAUGCUAUGGCCACAGAUGAUAUGGUUUGGCUCUGUGUCCCCACUCAAAUCUCAUCUCAAGUUGUAAUCCCUGGAUGUCGAGGGAGGGACCUGGUGGGAGGUGAUUGGAUUGGUUCGCAUGAUAGUGAGGGAGUUCUCACGAGAUCUGGUUGUUUGAUAAGUGUCUGGCAUUUCUCCUGUGCUGUCUCUCCUGCCACCUUGUGAAGAAGGUGCCUGCUUCUCCUUCGCCUUCCGCCAUGAUUGUAAGUUUCCUGAGGCCUCCCUAGCAAUGCAGAACUGUGAGUCAAUUAAACUUCCUUUCUUUAUAAAUUA
rnacentral:lncRNA from 1 species